rnacentral:rRNA from 1 species
ACGCUCGACACCUACGGAGGCAGCAGUCGGGAAUAUUGCGCAAUGGAGGAAACUCUGACGCAGUGACGCCGCGUGCAGGAAGAAGGUUUUCGGAUUGUAAACUGCUUUAGACAGGGAAGAAAGAAAUGACAGUACCUGUAGAAUAAGCUCCGGCUAACUACGUGCCAACAGCCGCGGUAAUCUGAGCGGGCGUGGCAAGGC